AGUGCCUGAGUGCUGGGCUGUGGGGCCUCUCUCCCUGCCUGCAGCAUCAUUCCAAAAGCUUAGGUUCUUUUAUAGGUCAUGAUCAAUUUUAUAUAUUGGAUUACAUGUUGGAUAAUGCUGGUGCAUUAAAAAAAAAAAGUAAAAUUCAGCUUUAAAAUUACAAAUGUUAUACAAAAGUUUUUUCUCCCUGGAAAGUGCAGUGCUUUAAUGUUGUGCAAACAGAGCACAGGCAAGGGGCUUAAUAAAGGACAAGGGAGAUUCUGGUAUACAGACCUGAGUGCUCUUGGCAUGCUGUGGAGUCUUCCAGUAUGUGUGACCAGCUUUCCUUUCCAGGAAUCUUGGGAACAUGUGACGUGGUGUGAUGUGGCUCUGUAAUCUGCUCACAACAUCAAAGGUGGAUCCAGCUCCAUGAACAGUUUUUGCACUGGUUCUUUGACAAGGGAGAGGUCUGCCUUGCAUUCCAUGGACUCUGCUCCUCCCAGAGCAUCACACCUCUGUCCUGCACAUUUCCACAUUUCUCGGGGCUCAGCUAAGGUCACCAAAUGUUUCUUUCUUUGUUUUUUCCUUUCUUGACUCUCAGGCCCUCUCAGGCCCAGACCUUGAGAUCUGUGAUCUCAAGAAGUGUGAGGCUGGAAAGGAGCAAAGUCAAAACCCUGAAUUUUGCAAGAGCGAACUUCCCACUCUUUAAGGAGUUGGUGAAUCAGAUUCUCUGGAAAACUGUCCUUAAGGACAGAGGUGAUGACCACUGCUGGCAGCUCUUGAAGGCCCCUUUUCUUAGAGUGCAAGAGUGCUCUUCCAGUGUGUAGGAAAUCAAGCAAGGCAGGCCAGAAACUGACAUGGAUUUGCUCCUCAGACUGAGUAAGAAAGAAGUGCACUGCCAGUGGAAGCAGAGACAGGUGACCUGGGGAGAGUACAGGGACACAGUUCAUAUGUCUAGGAAUGGGGUCAGGACAGCCAAGGCAAAGCUGGAACAGGAUUUGGCAAGGGAUGUAAGGAAUUACAAGAAGGGAUUCUAUAAGGGCAUAGGUCAGAAAAGAAAAGGCCAAGGAGAGUGUAGCCCCUGUGAUAAGCAAGAAGGGUGACACUGAUAUGGAGGAGGCUGAAGUAGUCAAUGAGUUCUGUGUCUCAGUCUUCAUUGACAGUCAGGCUUCCCACUUCUCUCAAGUCCCUGAUCCUCUGGGUGGGUAGGGGGGAGUGAAGCCCCUCCCUCUAUAAGUGAAGAGCAGUUCAGGAUCACUUGAUGAAUCUGAAUAGCCACAAGUCUAUGUGACCUGAGGCGAUGCAUCCCAGGGUCCUGAAGAAACUGAUCAGUGUUGUUGCUAAACCACUUUCCAUCAUAUCUGAAAAGUCAUGGUGGUCAGGUGAAGUCCUUGGUGACCAGAAAACUAGAGACAUCACUUCCAUUUUUAAAAAUCAGAAAAAGGAAGAUCCAGGGAACUACAGACCAGCUGAUCCUGGGAACACCAUGGUGCAGAACCUCCUAGAUGAUCUGCUAAAGCACAUAAAAGAGAAGGAGGUGUCUGCCAGCACAUCUCUACUGAGAGAAAGUCAUUCCUGACCAGUCUAGUGGCCUGUGUUGGACUGAUGGCAAGAGUUGAUAAGAGAAGACCAAAAUACAUCAGUUAUCUAGUCUUCUGUUAGGCCUUCGGUAUGGUCCAACACAAUUUCUUAAUCUCCAAAUUGAAGAGACAUGGAUUCGAUGGGUGGACCACUCAGUGGAUAAGGAAUUGGCUGGAUGAAUGCAGCCAGAGUUGUGAUCAAUGGCUUUAUGUCUAGGUGGAGGCCAGCAAUGAGUUGUGUCCCUCAGGGCCCUGUCUUGGGACCAGUGCUCUUCAUCAGUGGCACAGACAGUGAGGUCAAGUGCACCUUCAUCGUGUCUGCAGAUGACCUGAAGCUGAGCAGUACAGAUGGCACAAAAGAAGGACAGGGUCACUUCCAUGGGGACCUGGACAGACUUGAGAAGUGGCCCAUGAGAACUUCCUGAAAUUCAAUAAGUCCAAGUGCAAAGUGCUGCACCUGGUUCAGAGCAAUCCCAGAUAUAAGCACAGACUAUAAGAAGUCAUUGAGAUCAGUCCUGCAGCGAAAGACUUGGAUACUCUCAGGGAUGAAAGCUGGGCAUGACCAAGAGUGUGCUCUCAUAGCCCAGAAACCUGACUGCAUCCUGGGCUGCCUCAAAGGAAGCAUGGCCAGCACAUCAAGGGAGGCAGUUCUCCCCCUCUACCCUGCCCCAUGAGGUCACCACCUGGAGUACAGCUGAAAAGAAAGAUAUGGACCUGUUAGAGUGGGUCUAGAGAAGGGCCAUCAAUAUGAUCAGAGGAAUGGAGUACCUCUACUACAAAGACAGGCUGACGUUCUGCCUCAGCAGGUUGGAGACAAUCAAAAAUUGGAGACCCCAGAGAAGGCACAGUGCUUUGGGCACCUGAAAUGCUGCCUGCCUCCCUUGCAGUCCUGCUCUGAGUCCAAAUGGCUUUUAAUGCUGCUUUUCAAUGAAUCUGAAGGAAGUAACCUUAUCAAAGCCUUACCACAGGACUCUGCAGUGUAUGUCCUACUUGGACUCCCUACUCUUCUUCUGAAAAAGAAAUGUCACUUAAAAAUUGUUAGCAAUAGGUAAAUGGCAUGGCAGGGUAAUGAGAUGGCACAGGAGAGUGAAUGCCGGAGCGCAGAAUUCAACUUUAACACACAUGGAGGUAUGGGAGGAGGCCCACAGGGAACCACCAGCUGCCACAGGACAACUUAUCCUGGAGGGUUAUUCAGGGUUCUCUGAGAUGCCGUGCGCUCUGUAAGUAUAGAUACCCUCCUGGCCCCAAAGUAAAUAUGUAUCUGUAAAAAUACUGCGCAUUUCAUAGGUGACAUUGCUGAAAGGAACCAUGUCUGUCAGUGUUGUGCUGUGUUUGGGUAGCCCAGAGACCUGAGAGAUGCUGCACAGCCUGCUCUAUGAGGGGCUUUAUGGCAAGAUCUUUAAAUGUCCUGGCCUCUCCAUGCUGAUAUUUAAAGGUCAGUUGUAUUCUGAAAAGUUAUCUUGAUAGGCAUAGUGAAAAUUUAUCUUUGUAAUCGUCAAAUUUGCCUAGCUAACAACAGAAUAUGUUAAUUUCCAGAUGUGCCAGUUCAGGGUAAGUUCAGCAGAGAGAGCCAGAGCAGCUUUUUUUAUGUCCUCAGUAGUAAGGUCUGUGUAAAAAAAGGCUUCCAAUUCUGCAAAUGUGACUGGAGUAGAAAUGUGCUAUCUUGGGUGGAGAAGUUCUGCAGCCUUAACUGGCAUAAAAUGUAACAAACCCUUAUUUUAGUGAGUGAAUUCCCCAGAUGUGCCUGGGAAUAAGUCAACUGACUACAAAAGAUCUAUUUAUCCAUCAUGACUAUUUAGAGUAAAACUGCACUUUGAAGUUUGGUAGGCACUUUCGCAAUAGAGGGGUUUGCCCUGAUGUCCUUGGCCAAAAAUAGUGGCUUAUUUUUGUCCUGCUAACACAUGCCAGCUGGCUGCCACCCUCCAUUCCUGACGCAGCUGCAUUUCAGUUCUGCUGUUUAUGUAAAGUUUGUGCAGUGUGAUUUAGGGUCCUUUGGGAUGAAAUGUGCUAUGUAAAUAUAAACUCUUAUUUCCAAUGUAGCCAUUGAGGGCCUAAUUCAUCCCACCAUGCAGAGGUUUACACCAAGACUUGGCCAAACAGAUGCAGAUCCCAGCAUUGUCUGGCACCUAGUGGGUUCAGUCUCUGGAGGAAGCUCCCAUGAGCAGCUUCUGGAAACACCACAGUGCUGCUCAGUGUCCCAGCACUCAGCCCCAGCUUGGCCCAGGCUUUGGAACAUCUGAGUGGAAGACUUUUGAAGACAAGGUUUAGUUUAGCAUUUUACUACAUAAACUUAUUGUUUGCUAGCAGACUGGAAUCAGGAUUUGGAGUUUUGCAUAUUCCUUCACACUAGGAUAGUUUGGAUCCAUCUGGUUAAUUCACCAAUACAGAUGGGCAAGUGAUAAGGAAUAGGGUGUGCUACAGCCGUCUAAGUGCUUCUCUUGCAAGGUCAGAUAUCCCCAUAAUUGGGAUAAUGUGCAAAUGUAUUGCUUUCACAAAGAAAUAAGACCUGCUGAGGAAUUGGGAGAACUGUGAAUCUGGUCCAGUUUGAUUAUAUCUUGCCAUCUCUUGACAAGUAUGGGCCUAUUCCAGACUAUAUGCAACACAUAUCCAUAAUUCACAGUACACAAUACUAAAUGCAACAUUUGCAACAUAGCAAAGCAGAUGAUCUGCAAGAUAUAGCUGCCUAUUUAAAUAGUGUCCUGAAUAUCCAUAAGAAUUUCCAUGUCACUUCAGCUGUAGAUGGAGUGGAAAAAUGUGGGGGAAAAAAAAAAAAAAAAAAUUAAAGGCACAGUUUGAAAGUCCAGGAUGGAAAACUCAGGGGUCUAGGAUCACAUGCCUGCCACAACCUCCCAGCAGUUUAGUCAGGGAUGUUCAGCAUCCCCUGACUGCAGCAGAAAUGACAUUGAAUAGCAAGAGAUUUCCCAUAGAUUUUAGAAGCUACAAAACAUGGAGACAGAGACUGCUGAGGAUCACCUUGUCAAAAGUCAAACACAAAAGGACACUUGUGGACUUCUGUCCCAGGCAAGAAAAAUUACAAUCAGAAGGAAUUUGCUAUGCCUGGUGUGAAAUGCUGACCAUUGCUCAUUAGAGCAGGGAAUUGAGGUCUGCUCUGCCAGUCCUCCUUGCUUCUGGGAACACCUUGGUCACCCACAAAGCUCCUUGUAAGGAGCAUUGGGAUACCAUUUUAAAGAUGACCAGACAUCUUCUUCAGACAGGCUACUGGGACUUGACAAAGUGGGUGGGAAUACUGCACCAAGAAUUAAAACCUGGAGCUGCUGAAUUUACAACAACCAGCAAGACUAACCUGAACAUUGAAAAGGCACAGUAAAUAUAAUCCAGAUCUCCAGGCCAGAGAUGCCAUCCUGCUGCAUUUAUGGGAUGAUGCAGCCCACUCCAGCAGAACCUGUUCCCCUCCUGGAGAUGGACUCACUUGUCUGAAGGCGGAGAAGACCAUGCCCAUCAAACCUGGAUCAACCCCAUCCCCAACUCCACCUGCUGUCAAGUCCCACCAAAGCCCAUGUAAUCAUCUUUUGCAGUUUCCUUGAGCCCAACUGGAUUUCCAUUGGGCUCCCACAGUAUCUGCUGGAAGCUCCAGCAUCAAACUUCCAAGGGUUCUCAUCAGGGGAUUAAUUCCUCCUUUUCAUCUUCAUCAGGAGCAUGCACUUGAGCCCUCUGCGUGGGAAAUAGACACAUCUUCUCCAUGUGGCAGAAACACCCAGCCAUUGAUUACACCCAUCAGCUAAUGGAUGGACACGUAUCCCAGCCAGUUGUACCUAGGUACAGAAUGCAGAUUUAUUAUUCUCAGUUGCAAGAACUAUCAGGAGCCCAAGGAAUUAUUGGAUAUAUUUUAUAAUGGAAUAAAGAGAAAGGGAAAUGGAACCUCAAAAGAAGAAGUACAGACAUCCUGAAGACAAAAAGCAGAGGUACUUAGGAGGAUGCAUAUUAUGCUUAAACACAAGUCCAUCAGCAGCAGCUGAGUCCCAUGUCACAGAAUAAGAUCUUGAAUAUCA